CUAGCCGUAAACGAUGUAGACUUGGCGUUGGCGGAGUUAAAUCUGUCAGUGCCGGAGCUAACGCGUGAAGUCUACCGCCUGGGGACUACGACCGCAAGGUUAAAACUCAAAGGAAUUGACGGGGACCCGCACAAGCAGCGGAGCGUGUGGUUUAAUUCGAUGCUACACGAAGAACCUUACCAGGGUUUGACAUGCAAGUGGUAGUGAUCUGAAAAGUGAACGACCCUUCGGGGAGCUUGCACAGGUGC
rnacentral:rRNA from 1 species